rfam:Aureobasidium namibiae CBS 147.97 unplaced genomic scaffold scaffold_5, whole genome shotgun sequence.
GCGAAGGAUUAAAACAUUUUUAACCCAGAGUCUUUUCGAUGAAGAUCAAAAACGCAACACUCUAAUUUUUUCAUGACG